GAUGAACGCUGGCGGCGUGCCUAAUACAUGCAAGUCGAGCGAACAGACGAGGAGCUUGCUCCUUUGACGUUAGCGGCGGACGGGUGAGUAACACGUGGGUAACCUACCUAUAAGACUGGGAUAACUUCGGGAAACCGGAGCUAAUACCGGAUAAUAUUUCGAACCGCAUGGUUCGAUAGUGAAAGAUGGCUUUGCUAUCACUUAUAGAUGGACCUGCGCCGUAUUAGCUAGUUGGUAAGGUAACGGCUUACCAAGGCAACGAUACGUAGCCGACCUGAGAGCGUGAUCGGCCACACUGGAACUGAGACACGGUCCAGACUCCUACGGGAGGCAGCAGUAGGGAAGCUUCCGCAAUGGGCGAAAGCCUGACGGAGCAACGCCGCGUGAGUGAUGAAGGUCUUCGGAUCGUAAAACUCUGUUAUGAGGGAAGAACAAACGUGUAAGUAACUGUGCACGUCUUGACGGUACCUAAUCAGAAAGCCACGGCUAACUACGUG
rnacentral:rRNA from 1 species